GCUGGUCUGGUCUAGCUAGAACCCUCAAAAGGAGCAUGUGCUAAGUUAUAAACCCAGAAACAUGCAGCAGCUUAGCAGAAACCCUUCAGAGCCACAAGUCCUCCCAGUUUUGUAGAGGUGAUGUGGUGAGUCUCUUUAUUACUUUGCAAAGGAAGGUCUUUUUAUAUAUAAUAUUUUUAUUAGUUUUCAAUUACAGUCCAAUAAUAGCCUCAUUAUAAAGGAAGGUCUGGCACUCUUCACAUCACAAGGUUCUUGUGAGGCUUAAUUGUAUAUUAUUACUCACCACCCAAAGUUUUUAUAGGCACCUGCUUCCUUCCAGGUACCCAAGACUGCGUAGUUUCUUGACUGACAGCCCCCCAUUUUAGCAACCCCACCUUAAGUCCACAUCUUCUCUUGGAUUUCUUCAUUGCCUCUGAGGUUGUCCUAAGGUUCACUCUCAACCUCCAUCAUUUGCUGCUGCUGCUGCUGCUGCUGCUGCUGCUGCUGCUGCUGCUGUAUUUGCUGCUAUCACCCUUCACCUUAAAUGCAGGCAGGGUUUCCCCAGCCACUCUGGGCGGCUCAUAGCUGGGAUUAUAUUCUUUAGGAUCAUUUUUGUACCAAAGGGUGUUGCUUAGAGGACCCCUUCCCUGUUUGAAGGACUUUGCAUCUCAAGGGUAGAUCAAUAUCUUCUUGGAGUCUGUAACCUGAAGUGUAUGUAACCCGAGGUACUACUGUAGUACUGCAGAUUUUCUAGUUUCCCUCUUUCCUCUCAGCUCCUGUCGCCUUUUGUGCUGCGUCUCUCAGAUUCUAAGCCUUUCCUUUCUCUACAAAGAAGUAUAAACUUCCUAGAAAGCCUUGGCAGAAAAGUGGCCGAUAUACGGAGCAAGAAAACAAACCAAGUGCUGGGAAUAGUUCCUAAGCAGGUGCAUAUUCCGAAAAGCACAAGCUACGGCUGUGCAGAAUCGGUGUUUGAAAAUGAUGCCGACUUCAGCUGGAAAUAUUAAAACACUCUUUCAUGGAUGCCUGCAACCCUACAUCAGGCUUUCAAUCUUCCCCAGAGGGUCUUGGGGCGGGGGGAACCUCCAGUAACAAGCCUCGUAAUUCCGCUCUGCUUAUCUUCAGCCGUCUCGCCUUUAUUUAUUGAGGGACCUUCAGCACCUUUGUCUUUCUUCUUUUGCUUUUUUGCUUAGCCUUUCCUUCUUCAUCCUCCCACUGCCUCCCAUAAGAAAAAAAUUGCAUCAGUAUUUCAUCUCUUCAUCCACACUUAAGUGCCUUUGAUCUGAUGCUGUGCAAGGGUUAUUUAUUUGCCACUACCUCCAGGGGUUGGGUGGGAAGUCACCCAGGAAUAGAACAAUAGAGAUUUCACCCUUUCAUGAGUGUUUUGCUGCGCACAACCAUUUAUUUUCCCCUGAUUGUCUUUGCAUUUCAUUUUGAAACGGUCUCGACUGAACUUUACCAUUUCUGCAUAUUUGGCAUUCUUCUUUUCCCGCAAAGAUGAAACGGCUUCCCCUAAAUCUGUAUUGUUUUAUUAUUCAUCUCCCUUUGUGCUGGAGUAGCAGAAACAUGAUUACCUUUUGUCAGGCGGGCUUCAAGAUCUCUUUAAUUUUUAUUUCCUUCAAUGAGAGACCUCUGUUUGUAACGUUAAUGUUUUCCCAAUUACUUUUGAUCAUCGCUGAGAAGCAGCCUGGUUUUCCCUUUAUUCUAGUGCAGAGUCUCCAGCGCUGGAGACUACAUACAUAUUUUUGUGUUUAUUUGUUAAAUGUAUAUCCUGCCUGUCCUCCGCAGAAGGGGUGGAGAACCUCAGGUGUGAAGGUCAAAUGUGGCCCUCCAGGUCUCUUCCCCACCCCAUUCUCAUGCCUUCUCCAAAGGCCAUACCCUCACCUGCCUGCUUCACACCCUCCUUGAAUGUUUCUGCAUGACUGGAAUGACUGUCCGUCAACUCUGGUCAAGACUUUUGUUUGCCUCGAUUAAGGGGCAGCUGUGAGUGUGCAUUGCUGCUUUUGUUGUUGGCACCUGUCUGUCUUGAGAGACAAUGGAGUUGUCACCUCUGGGGGUGAAGUCAAACUUUUGUGUUAGCAGCACUGAAGAGACUUCCCCUGGGCAGUGUGUAUGGAGGUCCUGGGCUGCCCAGACAACAAGAUUCCUAUUUUGUGGUCCAAAGUAAAGUAGAGUAAUAUGUUUGGCACCAGCUUGGCUGCAGGAGUUGCCAGAAGGAAAUGUACAAGGUGUCAUCCAACCACCUUAGGGACUCCAGAUUUUUUUACUUGUUGCAGGAACCACCCCCCAAUCAUUCAGUUUGUACAAACACAACACACACACACACACACACACACACACACACACACACACCACAUACACAACGUUCCUGUUAUAAAUUCAUAGUAAAUCAACCAUACAUCGGAUUUACACCGGUCCACUUUUAUUUUACUCCAUGAAGGAAGGACUAUCAAAGGGGGGUGGUUUGAUACAGGACGGCCAUAAUCCCUUAACCAUACCAGCACAUACACAGGAGCCCUGCCCAGUUGGCAUGACAACCUUGAUGGUCCCAGACAGAAGAUGAUCCAGGUCACAAAGGACUUGCAUAUGGGAGUGGAUUCAACAUGGACUGGAACAAAGGACAAUGAUCAGAUCUUCCCUCUGGGGGCAGGAAACUGCCAACUCCCUUUUGUCCUCUGGAAAUGACUCAUGGGGAGGGGGAGAGGAGGAACCAGCCAGGUGACAAGAUAGUCAGGUUACCUCCACAACUCCUCCCUCAACCCCUCCCUUUUUGUGAUGUAGUUGUGAUGUAGUCUUAGGGGUGUAGUUUGGGGGAUUAGUAACUAAUAAAAGUUGGGGUCUUCUUUUGUUCUGGACUUCCAUUUUGCUUCAUCUUGGUGCGGGUGGGAGUCCUGUCGCGACAGUAUCCAAUAAAGGCCAAGCCUACAGGCUGCUGUUUUGCUCCAAGUUAUCCUGGUUGGUGUCUUUGUUUUUGUCCAAGGGAGCCCUCGGAUUUUUCCGUUAACAUACUCCUUAGCCUUUUCUUCUCCUGAAGAUACCCCUCAAGGUGGCAGACGUUUAGGAUCACAGUAGAUGACAUUAAUGGGGCCUCUCCUUGGUCUUCCUACCAUUAAACCCCAAGAAGAAGGAGAAGUAAACUAUCCGUUGGAACUUACUGAAGAAGAUGCUCCUUCAGAUACUUGGGCUUUGUAUAUUACUGCCAAUACCUUGAACUGGAACAUCACCUGCAGCCACUACAGUAUUUUUACUUUUACUGUAAGUAAUUUUUACCCACCCUUCACUCUAUGGUCCCAGUACUCUCAGUAUGUGCUCUUCUCUGACUGCUUUAUGGUCCAGUUCAAUGAUCUGGCCUAGUUUCAGCAUCAUCGUCCCCUGAACUAAGGAGACCCAUUUGACAUCAACACAAUACCAAGCCUUUGGUGUCAUUGUCUCACUCAUGUGAAACACUCUAUCGCAGAGAUCAGCAGGCACCGUUUGUCUCUCUCCUGACUCAAAUUCCCCUCCCUUCCUUCCCAAAUUCACAAAAUCUCCUCCCCAUUUUCACUGCUUGCAAAUCCGGCAGCAAAAUACAAUGUGCAAAGAAAGAUUUUAUUUAUUUUUUUGCAACAGCCUUGGCUUUUUUUUUUUUUAACAAUAAAAAUUGCUGUUUUCAUUAAGUGUUAUAUUUGAACAUUUUAAUUAUUACUUUGAAUUCUCUAUCUCAGGUACAUUUUGCCAAGCAAAGAGAAAUGAAUUCUUUAAUAGGAGCCCAUGAACGUCCUAAAUAAAUGCGUUAUCGACCACCACACAGUACAAAGAUCUAUGAUAACAUUUAAGUCCUGAAGAAUUAUGGGAUGAAUAAUAUGUAUAUCCCUCCCUCGGCUUCAGUUAUCAAGUGAUUAGCUGAGAAAAUUUUCUGUGAGAGAUUUGCCAUGUGAACAAGAGCCCCCAAAUUACUUAAACUAAUAAGUAUAUUAUUGCGAGACUCUCUAUAUUAUUUAAACAUUUCUGGUUACUGCUAGCAUGAUUUAUACAUUCAAUACGGAAAGUCUCGGAUGCUUUGCCUGCUAUAUUAUUAGUCUCUCUUGAUAAAACCUCUUUGCUUUCCUUCCAUCUCGAGGGAACCUAAUUUAAAUAUGAAUACACACACGCACAUAGAGAAAAAAAUAACAGUUGUUGAAACUGAAAUUAAUAAUGCCCUUUUUUAAGAAAGAGAAAGAUAAAACAAAAUUGAACAGUUCUCCCCCCCUCCUUUCUUUCUUUCUUUGAAAUAGCCUGGAUAAAAAUAUGAACAAAAUGUUAGUAGUUCCUAUUUUAGAAACAAGAAAAGGGUAAAAUGUGCCUGUUUGGCAUUGUGUUUGCCUUAUGGGUAAUAGAUUUAGGAUGCAAUAAGAUUUUGGGUGCAAUGCAAGCAACUGCAGGUUAGCAAACUCAAGUCUCAUUGGUUUCCGUAGGAGUGGAAUGUAGUUACUUCUCUCCCAUGAAAAUUAAUCAGAUCUGGGGUGUGAGUUAAAGGUCACAAUCCUAAAGUUGGCAAAAAGCCCUCUGAGAAACCAUUGGGUCUGUGGGAAGAAUUGAGAUCCGUUUGUGCCCUACCAUACUCCUUAUUAUAGAUGUUGGUCAUUUACUAACAUCUGGCUUAGGGCCCUCCUAUUUACAGGACCGCCUCUCCUGGUAUGCCCCGCAGAGGACCUUAAGGUCCAUGAAUAAUCAUAGUUUAGAGGUCCCAGGCCCUAAGGAAGUCAGAUUAUCCUCCACCAGGGCCAGGGCCUUCUCAGUGAUGGCUCCGACCUGGUGGAAUGCUAUGUCCCAUGAGACCAGGGCCCUGCAGGAUUUAACUUCCUUCCGCAGGGCCUGUAAGACAGAGCUAUUCUGCCUGGCUUUCAAUUUGAACUUAGCCUGAUCUUUUAUUCCCCUUCCUUCCCUCCCCCUCCCCUUUUUAUGAAGAUUACCUGCUCUGGGAUCACACAGCUAAUUCUCUCCUGGUCUCCUUGUUGGCCCAAAUAGGACUAGUUUAGCCAGCUAGCCCUGGUGAUCAUCUAAUGUUUAUUGGCUAGAUUUCCCCCCUAAAUUGAUUUUUGAAUUCUGAAUUUAUUGUUACUGUAUAUAUGUUUUAUGCUGUAUUUUAUGCUGUUUUUUGUUGAAUCAAUUAAGUGUUUUAAAUUUGUUGUUAGCCACCCUGAGCCCGUUUUUCUGAAUCAGGAAGGGCGGGGUAUAAAUAAAAAUUUAUUAUUAUUUAUUAUUAUUACCAAUUAUUUAAUCAAUUUAUUGGUUGAUUGAUAUACCACUGAUGUUUCUAAGCAGAGGUUGGAUGGCCAUCUGUAAUGGAUGCUUUAGUUGAGUUUCCUGCAUUGCAGGGGGUCAGACUAGAUGGCCCUUGAGUCCCUUCCAACUCUAUGAUUCUAUGAGAUGCUGAAAUGGCUUCUAAGCAGUUUAGAGCUAGCUGUAAAUUUGAUCCAUGAUUAUAAUAUGCAAUGGCGUUAAAGAACCCAUAAUGGAAAUAAAUAAUAAAGCAAACAAUUGAAAAGUGAUUUGAAUUGCCACAUCCAUAGUCAACAUCAGUUGACAUCUGCACAACAUGCCCCUUCUUGGUGAUGUUGCCUUCAUCGUCCAUUGGUAGCUUCCAGCUCAGGUAUGAUAAACUGAUAACCUUCCCCAUUCAAGCUGUUCCCCUCUCUAGUUCUGCCUAUAUAUCCUUAUAUUCAAGAGGUACAGAAUUUAUUAGGUGGAGGCGUGAUAAAUGAAAAUUAGCAAUCAGUAUUAAUGAGCCUACUGUAUAUGCAAAUUCAAAAAAACGACAGCAUAUCCUGUGGUAUAAUUAUCUAACACCCUUUGCACCAUCCUAGAUAAGGAAAUAUCAGUAAUGCAUGUCUAGCUUAUGUCUCUAGAGAGAAAAGUAAAAUGUAUUUAUCCUCAGACUGACUGAAUAGGCAUGUAUUGAAAACUAACAAAGGGAUUCUGUUGAUAAUUUUUUUUCAUUCAGUGGGUUUUUUGUUUGUUUGAAGAGAAAUAAACAAAAAAAUUGAAUUACGUUGGCUAUCGUGGUACAAUAGCUGUUAUGGUUUCUCACAAAUACAAAGGAUUAAAUGACUAUCACCAUUAAAUAUAUAAAAUGAACUGAAAUGCAUGUGCCAGAAUUGUUUCACAACUUUUUUUCACUUACAAAAUAUUUUCAUUGGGUUAUAAUUGAACAGUUAAAUUGCUGUGAUAUAAUUUAUAGCAGUUAGCUGAUGUGGUUAGACUUCCUGCUUGCUGUUGUUUUUAAAAUUCACUAUGGGUUCUGUUUAAGAUAGAUGUUAGAUAGAUAGAUGAUAGAUAGAUAGAUAGAUGGUAGAUAGAUAAUAGAUGACAGAGAGAUGAGAGAGAGAGAGAGAGAGAGAGAGAGAGAGAGAGAGAGAGAGAGGUCACCACAAUCUUCACCUAGCAGUUCCAGGGGUUCCAAAUACAGUGGUAUCUCGGGUUACAUACGCUUCAGGUUACAGCCUCCGCUAACCCAGAAAUAGUGCUUCAGGUUAAGAACUUUGCUUCAGGGUGAGAAGAGAAAUCGUGCGCUCCGGCGGCGCAGCAGCAGCAGGAGGCCCCAUUAGCUAAAGUGGUGCUUCAGGUUAAGAACAGUUUCAGGUUAAGUACAGACCUCCGGAAUGAAUUAAGUACUUAACCCGAGGUACCACUGUACUUACCUAGGGUUCAUGUUUUCUUCAGAAAUUAGGCACAGCAGAGACUGUGGUGUCUUUAUGAUAUAUGGUUUUAUUUGCAAAUAUCUACAACCUGUAACUCCUCUGCUACAAUUGUUGCUACUAGCCAUCUCUGACUUCUCAUGUUUCCUCUCCUGCUGUGAGAGCUGCAGCUCAGAUUUCUGGCAAUGAGCCAUCAGGUAGUUAAGGUGCAUAGGAUCAUAGAGUUGGAAGGGAUCCCAAAGGCCAUCCAAUCCAACCCCUGGCAAUGCAGGAAUCUCAACAAGCGGUCCCCCAUCCAAUUCAAAACCAUACCCGACCCUGCUUAGCUUUGCAAAUGUGCCGGCAGUUUUAUUGCUGAACCACUUGGCAGGGCUUAACUCACUCUUCCGCUCUCACCCAGAGUGGAAGAACUGAAUUUAAGAUAGGGAAAGGGAAUUUAAGAUUGGGAAAAGGAGAAACUGGGAGAAAUUGAAGCUCACAGAUUCACCCCUUCUUUUAUUCAAUAUAAGGCAGCCUUGUGCACUUUGGCAAAUCUGUAGGCAUAUAUUUCCAUUACUGUGCCACAACCCCCCCCCAAAAAAAAAACUUCUAUCCAGCAGGAUCUAACCAAUUCAGCCAACCUAACUAUCAUGGGUCUCUCUGUGCAGAUUCUUCUGAUGAUUCCUCACUCCCACCCCUGAAUAAAACUCGGUAGGACCUUUCGUGCAUUGACAGUUUCCCUCGUCUUUCAGUUACUCAGACUGUUGCCUUUGAUAUGUCGGAAGCCAUUUCAUGUGAGAGUUCUCUCCUUCCUAGGCUUGAAUUUGAUUCUCUGAAGGAUUACUGUAGCUGUCUUUGAAGUGAGGUCAUCAUCACAACGGAAUCCUCACCAUCGAUGGUGACAACCACCAGGUUGGCUUGUGUGCUAAGCUUUCACUUCUUCUUUCUUUCUUUCUUUCUUUCCAGACCCAGACGUUUUUAGUCCCAGCCUUCAAAGAAAAGUAGGAAGAGAGGCAAAAAAGCCUCUUGCACUGUCGUUUCCUUGCACCUGUAGUUAAACUUUUCCAGCUGACAUGUCACCCUGCAAGAUGUCUUUUCAGAUUUGAUUGAAAAGAGGAGUCAGACAUCCUACUGUCGCUUAAACCUGAGCCAGUCUUCAGGGGCUUAAGGAACAUAUGAAAGAGGCAGGGAGCCUUCCUGUCUGAGCUGUGCUCCCAAAUCAUUCCCGCUAACUCUUUUGUGAGGCUGAGAUCCUUUUUCCUGCUCUGAAGCCCUUGUGCUGUUAAAAUGUUGUUCCAGAUAGGCUCCAUUAGGGGCCGACAGGGGCAUACAUCAAUCAGAUGCUUGCAAACAAAUCCGUCAGGUGUCAGCCAUAUCCAAAGUUGCAGAGAACGAGGCCCUUAUAGAUCCUUUUCGUUAAAUUGUGUGGCAUAUUUUGCAUUUAUAUCCCAGCUUUUUCUCCAAAGAGCUCCAAGGCAUACACGGUUCUUCACCUCCUUAUUUCAUCCUCACAACAGCCCUGUGAGGUAGGUUAGGCUAAGAGAUGUUGACGGGCCCAAGGUCACCCAGUGAGCUUCAUGGCUGAGUGGGGAUUUGAACCCUGGUCUCCCAGGUCCUAGUCCAACAUGCUAUACCACUAUACCACACUUGAGGCAGUGUCUUUUGUCUGCCCCACACUUGCCUCUAGGGCUUUGCAAAAUAUUCUCCCAGAAUUGGUUACAAGGUGAUUAUAAAUAUUUUCCAGAAACCCCUUUUUUUGCUCCAGUGCAGUGUUUCCUUGAUUCCUGUUUCUCCAGAUCUAGCGAGACUUGUGUGUGUUUCCUUCUGAUAGACACAUUUUGCAUUCUGUUUUGCCUAACGUAUGCAUUUUGGCAAGCCAUCUUCCAAGUCAAUGCCUUGUUGUUUUCAGUAAGAUACACACCUGAUAAACCCUCCCCCCCAAUAUAUACAUUUUUGUAUCCAUCUUUGGCAUUACAAAAUUCAGAGUGCAGCAAAUGUCAAAGAGUUGCAUGCAUGUGUUUCACACAUUCUUUCAACAAGUGUGUACAGUGGUACCUCAGUUUUUGAACGUCUCCAUUGAUGAAUGUUUCGGUUUUUGAACACCAUAAACCUGGAAGUAAAUGCUUCAGUUUUCGAACACAUCUCAGAAGUCAAACUUGAAACAUGACUUCCAUUUUGAGUUUUCCGCUUUGAGCAGGCAUAGGCAAACUCUGACCCUCCAGAUGUUUGGGACUACAAUUCCCAUCAUCCCUGACCACUGGUCCUGUUAGCUAGGGAUGAUGGGAAUUGUAGUCCCAAACAUCUGGAGGGCCGGAGUUUGCCUAUGCCUGGUUUUGAGGCUUCCGUUCUGAGCUUUCAGUUUUCGAAAGUUUUGGAAUUCAAACGGUCUUCCGAAAUGGACUACGUUUGAAAACCGAGGUACCACUGUAUUUGGCAAGACUGCACCAGUAUGUAAAGUGAAAUUAAUUUACCCUCCAUCACAUGACCUUUCUUUGCAGCCUUUGAAAUGGAAGAACAGAGAAGGUGACAGACAACUACAAGAAGCAUCCCUCGCUUUGGCUGAGGAACUAACUUUCCUUGGAUGCGAGAAAAUGACUGACAGUGGUUCAGUGCAUAACAACUUUUGUAGGACCAGCAUCAAACCCAAAUGUCCUUUCGAUACGUUAGAUGAGCCAGGG
rnacentral:lncRNA from 1 species